rnacentral:lncRNA from 1 species
CCGCGGGCCCGCCUGGCUCCCGGCGGCGGCGCGGGCUGCAGGGGCUCGCGGCGGGCAGCGGCGCCCGCCCCUCCGGCUCCGGGUCCAACCCUGCCUUCAGCCCCGGGCGCCACGGGGCGUCCCCGCCGCCGGCACUCCGCUGGGCGCUGGGGGCUCGUCUGCCGACGCCCCGGUUAGGGACGCAGCCUGCAGGUCGGGGCUCGUCCUCCACGUCCUCCGGGCCCGGACACGCCGGCCGCGGCCGUGGGGCGGGCGAGCGCGGAGCAAGGCGCUCCCGGCGGAGGCAGCGCGCGGCCCGGGUGCCCGGGGCAUCCCCGCGGCGGGGGGGCGGGGGGCGGAAGGCCGGCGGGGCGGGCGGCAGGAAGGGUCGGCGGCGCCCGAGCUCCGCCCCUCCGGCCGCCGUCCCGCGGGCCCGCACGGUGAGUGGCAGCGGCCGGGGGGCGGCGCCAGCGGAGGGGGCGGGGCCGCGCGCGCUGAUUGGCGGCGGGGGCGGGGGCGGGGCCGGCGGCGGGGCGGGGGCGGCGGCGGGGCGGGGCCGGGGCGGGCCGGGGGCGGGGCGGGCCGCGGGCGCUGGAGCUGCGGGCGGACAGGCGGGCGGACGGGCUGGCGGCUCGGGCCGCUGCAGCGGAGUCGGAGGAGGCGGCGGGCGCGGCGAGCGCGGCGGGCUAGCGGGUCGGAGGCGCCGCGCUCGGACCGGGGACGGCGAGCGGGUCGGGGCCGGGUCAGAGGCGCGUCGGAGGCCGCCGCCGCUGCAGCCCGGGCCCCCGCGGAGGAAGGAAGCCGGCCGGCGGGGGAGCUUUGGGUCGCGUUUUGCAACUUUAAAGACGGGUAGAGAAGAUGGGAGAAGACGGGAGAAGACAAGUUCAUUUCUAAGGCAUGCUGAUACGGUAAUGGAUCUUCAAGGUGGGAAUCAUUGGGAAUUUGAGUUGAUCUAACUUCGCUCUAACUUGGAUUUUUAUGAUGUCCAGGACACCGUAUUUGAAAGGUGAAGGGAUUUUUAUUUUUAUUUUUAAAAUAUUUUAUUUAUUUGAGAGAGCGCGCAUGAGCAAAAGGAGGGGCAAAGAAAGCAGCAGAUUCCCUGCUGAGCUAGGAGCCCAAAGUGGGCUCCAUCCCAGGAUCCUGGGAUCAGGACCUGAGCCGAAGGCAGAUGCUGAACCCACUGAGCCCCGCAGGUGCCCCAGAAAGGUGAAGAGAUUUUUCAAUGAUGGUUUGGUUUUUUAGGACUCUGAAUUUAGGCUGAGAGCCUGCCCUGGACUCAGAGCUAGCCUAGGGAGGAUGGAGAAGUAGAAGGUAGGCAAGUGUGGGUUAGGGCCCAGGAAGCCUCCAUGGUUUUUGCAGCUGAGAUGUAGACCCAGUGUGUGCUGGGACCCAGUACCAAGCUGCUCAUUUAAUCACAGGAAUAGAAUCGUAUGCUUGGAGUGAAUUCCUGAUUGAUUUAAAGUGAUUUAAAAAUAUCCUGUAUCCCUGUCUCGCCACCAAGUUUGCUAAAUCCUUGUCCUUUGUAAAAGGAGAAUGAGUAAGUUAGCAAAGUCAGAGGACUUUUCAAAGAAUUUGGUUUGGUUCUUUGCCAGAAUGCCUGCGGGUUAGAGGGUUCAAUUGAAAAUUCACAUCCAGGCCCUUGUAUGUUAAGAAGUCACGGGUUGCUGAUUGUCAGGCAUCAAACACAACUUUAUUCUGAGGAACAAAAUAAGAAUGGCACAGUAUCUUCUGUGAAAAUAUACAUUGAUUAGUGGUGUGGCAGGCAGGCAGCCUUUAAAGGGAUUGAAAGACUAGAACACAGUAGUUACCCUUAAAGAAAUUUCUAACUGUUGCAUGUGAUGUUAUGUAAGAGUAAGUUAGUUAUUUGUUUAUAAGAUUCCUUUAUCUCUUUUGUUACAAUAACUUACAUAUGCACCAGCUUGGCUCCUAGAUCCUAAAAUCCACAUUGCUUAUUUGAAAACAGUGAAUGAUGGACGGGUGGGUAUUAGCCACACACAAAACCCUUACUAUGUUAACAAUUAUGUUGGAGCUAGGUGGAAGUAGUUCCUUGGACCCGUAAAUGUAGCCAAAGAGAUUGGAGGCAUAGUGUUGUGAAUCUGGGCCACAUAUAUCCUGUGGACCUCGGUAGUUCAGGCUCCUGAUUGAUCCUGGGAGGGUUACGUUGCCCAGGGACUGGCAGUGUCUGAGGCUGCUGAGCCUUCUGCAGUCCUGGGGAGAACUUGAAGGUGAGAGGAAAAAAAAAAAAGGGAAUUGGCCAGUUGUCUAGAUGUGAUAAUUUUUGUGACUGUGAAUUAAUGCUUCGCGUAUUCCCCUGUGGAGGAGCUGAGCUGUUAGGAACCGUGCAGUCGGGGUCUGGGAUAUCGGGAGGGGGGCCUAAAUGCCAGGAGGAGUACAGGUGGCAGAAAGCUUCAGCUCGGAGAGCAGAAGUGGGCAGGAUUCCAGAAGUGGGCAGCCUUCCAGAAGUGAUGUGCCCAGUAUCCUCUCAUUCACUAGUUUAUAGACUUCGUUGGCAAGGAGGCGCUUUACUGAAGUCUCUUUGAAAGAAAAAUUUGCAUUGUCCAAGAUACUGGGCCCUGAACUCGAUGGAACUGCUGCCAAGUUGUGGUGGCUUUUUUUGGGCAGGUGUGUUUGUAAAAGAGCCACAAACACUACCAGGCCACCCUUACAGAGAGUAAAUAAAAAGCAGACAUUUAGGGUUAAGCUGAGGGGUCAGAAGGUGCAGGCAAAAGUACCUGCAUCGUGGACCCCGUGGACCUACCUGGGCUGUCCUUGGUCAUCAAAGCAAGGUGAAUUUGGGCAGUAGAUUCUGGUGAUGGCGAAAGCGGUGGCCUUGGAACCCAACUUCUUGCAUGAGAAUUGUGAUUCCACCUCUCCAUUGCUGAGUUUAGUGAUCAUGGCCAAGGUACUAAAUUCUCUGCACCUCAGUUUCCUCCUGUGCGAGGUGAGAAUGCUGGUAGCACUGCCUCAGGGCUCUGCUGAGUAUUGAACUUGCUGAUACGCAUGCAGUUCCUAACCCGCAGUAGGUGCUAAUGGUUUAGGGGUUAGUACACAGGGCUCCCACCACGCGUUAGAUGAGGAUUGAGUAGAUGAGCACAUGCGGCACUUCCACGAUGACCACGGUGAAGGGGACAGUCAUCGAGAUGGGCAUGUGCCUGCCUCCUCCCCGGCCAAGGCCUCUCUGCACUUUGCCACGGGACACUGUGCAGUCUCUGCCCAGAUGACUCGUCAGCUCUCCAUUCUCUUACAAGGUUGCUCUCCAUCCACUUAGUUGGCACUGACUUUUGGCCAACCUUGAAUUGUUUUGAUUGAUCUUCCGGGCCUUGACAUCGUGGAGUCACAGAAGACAUGAAUGGUGUGUUCUUAUAAUCCUAGCAUCGUAGAAGAUGAGGGCUUUUGUUGAUUUGGGGUUUUGUUUUUUUAUUGUUUGUUUUUUAAAAUCAGAUGCAGGCCCAGAAUUCUGUACGGGAUUCCUCUCACACAGAAAGUAAGGUUCUCCUUUUAAAAACAGUGGGGGGUAGGAAUUCAUAAUCAUGUAGGUCUCUGGCACCUGGGUUGGGGAUUGCUACCCUCCGUCAUCGGGCUCCUUGUGGAGUCUUUUCUUUUGGGGGUGGGGCACAGGUUUAGCUUCAGGCUGACAUCCACACAGUUUUCAGGUUUGUAAAACCUGGACCAGACGUGGGGCCUCUCCUUAGUGUAGUGCCCCCUGUUUAGGAACAUGCACAUCUGCACAGGUGUGCUGUGAUCAGGGGCCCGGUGGUUGCCGAGGGCCUUGUAGGGGAGAGAGUAAUUAUGAGAGAGAGACAGGGAGGGGGAGAAGGAGGAUAUAAUAACUCUCCAUUCUGUUAAUCUCACCAAACUGGCCCACUGGGUUGAAAUAGAACAAGCCAUAGGCAGCAGCUGGUGGAAAGAUCUAUCCAACCUACUAGUUGAGGAUUUUUUUUUUUCCCCAAAAAAAGACCUACAUUGCCAGGAAAAGCUAACAAAAAUUUCAAGGCAGAUUUGGAGGAAUUAAAUUAUUCUUAGGCAUGUUGCCUGGUUUCCAGGCAUUUAGGGAUAUGUAAAUGUUCAUGUUCUUCAGAGUUCUGUGUCUCAUUUGUACAGAGUACAUUAGUACUAAAAAUGAGAUUUGCUAGUUCUACAUUUUUUAUGUGAAUUUCUGCAGUGGAUGUUUGAUUCAGGAUCCAUCAAAAGGAGAAGUUGUCUUCAAACAUAAUAUAGUUUAUUUUUCUAAUACACCCUGCUGGUUGCUUUAGGUUUUGUUUUGUUUUCCAUUUAAUCUGAUAAUGAAAUACAAAUAGAAUACUAUCUCAAAUUAAUAUUCUUACUACUCAGAAGUUUCCAAUGUUUGUUUUUUGCUUCUUUUAAUAUUAACUCUCCUAGGAGUGUCAUUGGACUCCCACAGAGAGGCUCUAACCACGUACAGUUCGGUACUUGACACUUCUGAAUGCCAACGUCACUAGAUGUGGUUGGAUUUUGUGCAUUAAGAUGCAUAUACCGACAAGUUCCUAGAAUACUAAACUGGGUGGCUCAGCGAUUGAGCACCUGCCUACAGCCCGGGGUGUGAUCCUGGAGUCUCGGGAUCGAGUCCCUCAUCGGGCUCCCUGCAGGGAGCCUGCAUCUCCCUGUGCUUGUGUCUCUGCCUCUCUCUCUGUCUCAUGAAUAAAUAAAUACAAUCCUAAAAAAUAAAACCUAGGAAGCUCCCUUUGAUGCAGCGCACUGAUUGUAUGUGGCCGUCGUUUAUUGCUUCACUGCUGGGCUAGCUUAACUGGACCCUUUAAGUUGCUUUUACUCUCUACAAUAAACCUAGGGUUGAGAAAUGACCGGAGUGCAAAGCGUGUACAUGUACACCCUGUUCUGUUGGCAGACCACGUGCUGACUUGCUCUCUAGCGAGUCUUUAAUUCCUCUGUUAAAAAAAAAAAAAAAAAAAAAGCAAAAACUUGCCCUACUUGUUUCCCCCCACACCAGGGCUAUCCUUCCAGGGUGAUCUGCAGCAACCAUUUCUACUUCCUCUUCAGUUCCUUGACUCCUUCAGUUCUAGGGACUGUCCUCACUCACCUCUAGCCUGGGGUCUGCUGGUGAGGAUACUGUGGUGGGCAGGGCCCCGGGUCACCUAGCCUUGCCUCAGUUUCCCCCUGCUGGAGGUCCCUUGCAGGAUUUGGUCUUAGGGAUCGCCUUUCACCACCAGACUCGUCUUACCCAUUGUUCCCAAACAUAGUGUGUCUCCAGACCUUCUCUUGGCUUUUGAGGUUGCAUUCAGGGACACCCCCCCCCCCCCACCGUGUUUGAGCCUUGAGCCGUCCUUGCACUGGCAGUGUUUCUUCCCUGUGAGUGCCCCCUCCACGCUGGCAGUUGCACAGCCUGCCUGCCCUCAAGCCCCCCCAGGUCAGCUCCGGGUUGGCCUUUUGCACCUGUUGACUCCGGCGUGAGCAGCAGCAUGCACACUCGUGCAAUCCCUGUGCUGUCGUUCCAUCCGUGCCCUUCCAUACCCCGUGCUUCCAAUGCUUGUACUAGCUCUUCCUAGAACGUGGCAUCUGCUUAGUCACCUCGGCCCCUGAGGUCGUGCCGCACAUUCCGCUCCGUGUUCAGAUCCUGCGGCUGGACGCGGCCCCUCCUGCCUCGGAACCCAGCAGCGAUCCGGCCCGGCCUCUGCUGUUUGCCUGGUGUUCUGGUCCCCUGUGGGCCGUCCCCUCGGGGGCGCUGCCACGUGCCAGCACACCUCUGGGCCCUGCCUCACGUUCCUGGAAGGCAGGGACGCUCUUCCUGAGCCCUGUGUGUAUACCGCGUUGAGCAAUAGUGCGCUGGCCCGUGCGUGGAUGCCAAAUUGAUUAAAUACUUGUUGAAUGGAAAUAGAAAUUCAGAUUCACACAGAUGGCAGAGUGUGAUGUUCAUUCAUAAGU